rnacentral:rRNA from 1 species
AACGAACGCUGGCGGCAUGCCUAACACAUGCAAGUCGAACGAGCCCUUCGGGUCUAGUGGCGCACGGGUUCGUAACGCGUGGGAACCUGCCCUUAGGUUCGGCAUAACUCCCCGAAAGGGGUGCUAAUACCGGAUCAUGUCUUCGGACCAAAGAUUUAUCGCCUUUGGAUGUGCCCGCGUUGGAUUAGCUAGUUGGUAGGGUAAAAGCCUACCAAGGCGACGAUCCAUAGCUGGUCUGAGAGGAUGAUCAGCCACACUGGGACUGAGACACGGCCCAGACUCCUACGGGAGGCAGCAGUGGGGAAUAUUGGACAAUGGGCGAAAGCCUGAUCCAGCAAUGCCGCGUGAGUGAUGAAGGCCUUAGGGUUGUAAAGCUCUUUUAACCGGGAUGAUAAUGACAGUACCGGGAGAAUAAGCGCCGGCUAACUCCGUG